CUUGGAGUCAGUAACACCUGAAUUCAAAUCCAACCCUCAGCUUUUUCCUCUCUAUCCUGAAAUUAAGGUGGUUAAAGAAUCACAGAAGGCCUGAAUUGGAAAAGACAGAGGUCAUCUAGUCCAACCUUUACCUAAAUAAUGAUGAUACCUUCACUGUUUCUAAGAACUAGUAAUACAGCCUUCCACUUAAACAUCUUCAAUUAUAGAUGCUGGCAAUCAUCCCCAUCCGAUCCAGGAGUUUGAGCCACGGCAACCUUGGAGCCAGGAAUGCAAGUAGGAUGCUGUAGCCAGCCCAACAAGGAAGCUCAGAGAAGCCAGGGUGCCUGAAACCCAAGGCCAACAAGGGUUUUGGACUUGGAACUGGCACUGUAUGUCCUAUGGGAAAUGAGCUAAAAUAUGAAUGUAAUCCUCUUUUCUUCUCCAGAAACUGAGGUGGUGCAAAGGAGGGGGGAGGCUGGGUGGGGAAUUAUACCUCCCACAUGUUCAAAGGAAUAAAUUUAUAUAUGUGAUUAUAUUUUUUGAAGUGAAUAUUUUAGCAUAUAAGUUAAUGUGACUGUUGGUGGCUAAAUCUAACUAGGGGUGUAGCAGGACUCCCACCAACAACUGAAGAAACAACAUUAGUGGGGACAUUUUCAGAGAACCUAGACACACCUCCAAUCAUUCUCUUAAUGACACUGGAGUACUCUGGGAGAGGAGUGAAAUGUAACAUACCUGGCCUUCAGGCCAGGGUGGUCUGUGUUAACACUUAAAAUAACAACUCUGGGAGGUUUUAUCAUCCCCAUUUUACAGCUGA